CUAGUGAGUAUCUGAGGCUGGAUUUGAACUUGGGGAGAUGAAUCUUCCUGACUCCAGGUCCCGCAGUGGGCUGUGCCACUCAACUUUCUUACCAGUUCUCUUAGUCAUUUCCAUCCUCAUUUGCACUGCGUUGGUGUUAUUUGUGUAAAAUACAUUUUAUAGGAUCAAUUUUAUAAGAUGUCAUCUGUGAUCCUCUCCAGCCCUUUGGUCAUUAACUCUUCCCCACUUCACUUUGUCUGCUGUGACCUUUUUUAUCUGAACCAUGUGCCCAUUUGGACUUUGUCUUGGUCAACAACCAUAGCGAUGCCACAUUUUAGUAAAGCCACUGACACUCGAGAGAACAUUCGAAGAAAGUGACCAGGAUCGUCAUAACAACAAUAGCCCUUUAAAAGGUGUGCUCAGCAGACCCUGGGGUUAGGCGCUAUAUCCCCAAUGUACAGAUGAGAAAAGUGAGGCAGACAGGUGAAGUGACUUGCCUAGGGUCGUCCAGCUAGUAAGCGUCUGAGGCUACAUUGUGUCUCCCGGUCCAGCGCUCCCUGUGCUGCCCAACAGUAACUGAUUUGACAGCCCGCAGCCCACCAGCUGUCCUCGGCAUGCUCACAAGUGGUCCCGCCAAUGCACUACACUUCCCAGAAGGCGUUGCCAGGGCAGCGCGAGGUUGCCAUGGAAGCAGUGAAAAGCGGGCCCAUGACGGUGCAUAGAGUCUUCACCCGAUUGGUCCCCCGGCGCCGAGGGGUGAUGUCACAUCCGCUCCCUUUCUGUUGUGGACGUAGUCGCUAAAACCUUGGCUACGCUCCGUUUCAACAGUCGCCGAGGCCGGAGCCCUGCAUCCUGAGGACGAGGUCGAAUUGGGCAGCAGAAGAUGACCUCUGUGCUCCUUUACCUGGGACCCCACAGGAGAAGAAACUGAGACAGACAAAGUGACUUGUAUGGAGUCACACAGCUGGUGGCUGAGGCCAGAUUUGAACUUGGGUCUUCCUAACUCCAAAAUCAGCACUCUUCACUCUGCCACCUAUGAAGACAUACUAUGAGAUUCCCUGGGGAAGAACCCGAUCAACGGAACAGACUAGAAACACAACAUCAAGAACCAGCCCAGGUGCUAGAGCCAGUCUGGGUCACUGGUACGCUGGAAACCUGGUCUCCAGGUCAGCUCUUCUCCUCUGGGCUAAGCUAUCUCAUCAGAAGUCAUAGUAUAAACAAUCAAAGGAGCAGGGAGAGAGAUAUCCAUCACAAUAUGAACAGAAGACCUAAGACAGGACAGAAAGGAUCACGGAAGAUUACUGAAAUGUUUGAUUACAAAAAAAUGGGAGGUCUGUGAAAGGAAACCUAAUAAUAAACUAGUGUUUUGGAGCGCUCUUUCACAUGGUUGGUCACAGAUUUCAAGUCUCAUUUUGAGAAGUUUUUGUUCACCCGACACACGCGUCCAUCAUGCUUGGCUCCGAAACAGAGAUGAAGAAGAAGUGUCCCCCUGGCCCCACUCCCUCCCUCCCUCCAUGAGGAACGUGGAAGAUGACUCGCACUGUAAGGCGUGCCAGGUUUUGCUGAACUACCUUUUUCCUCUUUAAAAAAAAAAAUCUCUGUUAUGAGGGGAUAACUCACUGAGUAUGAGAUGGCAGGAGGACAUGUCAAGAAUAAAGAUGAUGUAAAAACAAAGGAUCCCAAUAAAAAUAAGAGUUUAAAAUGA